AGAGUUUGAUCCUGGCUCAGAAUCAACGCUGGCGGCGUGCCUAACACAUGCAAGUCGAACGAGAAAGUGGUAGCAAUACCAUGAGUAAAGUGGCGCACGGGUGAGUAACACGUGACUAACCUACCCUGGAGUGGGGGAUAACUGAGGGAAACCUUAGCUAAUACCGCAUAAUACCCACGGGUCAAAGGAGCAAUUCGCUCGAGGAGGGGGUCGCGGCCGAUUAGUUAGUUGGCGGGGUAAUGGCCCACCAAGACGAUGAUCGGUAUCCGGCCUGAGAGGGCGCACGGACACACUGGAACUGAAACACGGUCCAGACUCCUACGGGAGGCAGCAGUGGGGAAUUUUGCGCAAUGGGGGAAACCCUGACGCAGCAACGCCGCGUGGAGGAUGAAGUCCUUCGGGACGUAAACUCCUUUCGAUCGGGACGAUUAUGACGGUAC
rnacentral:rRNA from 1 species